AGGUCAUUUUGUGGGUAAUUCCUAAAUAGACCUUUGUAGCCCUCCCAUGCUUUGAAUAAAGACUCUCCCGCUUGUUGCUCAAAAUUGGCAAUGACCUUCUUGAGUUA